UCCGGUUUGUCACCGGCAGUCUCAUUAGAGUGCUCAACUGAAUGUAGCAACUAAUGACAAGGGUUGCGCUCGUUGCGGGACUUAACCCAACAUCUCACGACACGAGCUGACGACAGCCAUGCAGCACCUGUGUCUAGGUUCCCUUUCGGGCACCCCUACCUCUCAGCAGGGUUCCUGGCAUGUCAAGGGUAGGUAAGGUUUUUCGCGUUGCAUCGAAUUAAACCACAUCAUCCACCGCUUGUGCAGGCCCCCGUCAAUUUCUUUGAGUUUUAAUCUUGCGACCGUACUUCCCAGGCGGCACGUUUAUCGCGUUAGCUUCGCCACAAAAGGGAUCGAUUCCUUUUACAGCAAACGUGCACCGUUUACAGCCAGGACUAC
rnacentral:misc_RNA from 1 species